AGCAUCAGAGCAAAGCCAAGAGGUGGAAAAAAGGUGGUAGACGGAAAGGUUGGAAAACUUACCGGAGCGAAGUGGAGGAGGCAAGGAAGGUGCUUUCUCUUCUGCAAAGGUUUGUCACAGUCAACGAAUCCCACUGAUUCAUCUGCUUGUCAACACAUCCAACCAGUGCUGUCUACUUCACAACUACCAGACUGCCCUUCCACUGUGAUUCAAUCAAAAUCAAUUUUCC